rnacentral:rRNA from 1 species
AUGGCCGCCCACCGCGUCUGCGGCGACCACUCCCAUGGGAUUUUCUUUAGAGUGCUGGGCGUAGUGAUAUUCAUCCCUGGGUUCUACUACACAAGAAUAGCGUAUUAUGCUUACAAAGGGUACCAGGGCUUCUCUUUUGCCAACAUCCCUCCUACCUAG